UACAGAGGGUGCAAGCGUUAAUCGGAUUUACUGGGCGUAAAGGGCGCGUAGGCGGUGAUGUGAGUGUGAUGUGAAAGCCCCGGGCUUAACCUGGGAAGUGCAUCGCAAACGACAUGACUGGAGUAUAUGAGAGGGUGGCGGAAUUUCCGGUGUAGCGGUGAAAUGCGUAGAGAUCGGAAGGAACGUCAAUGGCGAAGGCAGCCACCUGGCAUAAUACUGACGCUGAGGCGCGAAAGCGUGGGGAGCGAACAGGAUUAGAUACCCUGGUAGUCCACGCUGUAAACGAUGAGAACUAAAUGUUGGAGGGGGAACCCUUCAGUAUUGAAGCUAACGCGAUAAGUUCUCCGCCUGGGAAGUACAGUCGCAAGACUGAAACUCAAAA
rnacentral:rRNA from 1 species